UAAAAUCCGUUGGCUUUAUUGACCGUGAGGGUUCAAGUCCCUCUACCCCCA
rnacentral:tRNA from 31 species